UCUUGUGAAGGCAGCCUUCGGCUGCCGAAGCUUGCCCCCGAAAGGAGACUUUCAUCUCUGUCUGGGAGUUUCGGCCGCCGAAAGUGCCGCUGAACAUGCAUGAGUUUCGCCUCUGUCUGGGAGUUUCGGCCGCCGAAGGUGCCGCUGAACCUGCCUGACUUUCGGCUCUGGAGGGACUUUCGGCCGCCGAACCUGCCGCCGAAAGUGCCCUGUCCAGC
rnacentral:lncRNA from 1 species